AUAUAUAUAUAUGUGUGUGUGUGUGUGUGUGUGUGUGUGUAUACACAUAUAUACACACACACACACAAUUCAUCCAUUGAAAAUACACA
rnacentral:miRNA from 1 species